rnacentral:rRNA from 1 species
CGUAAACAAAGGGAGGCGAGACGGUGACGUUAAGCAAAUCCCAAAAAUAACGUCCCAGUUCGGAUUGUAGUCUGCAACUCGACUACAUGAAGCUGGAAUCGCUAGUAAUCGCGAAUCAGAAUGUCGCGGUGAAUACGUUCCCGGGUCAUGUACACACCGCCCGUCACACCAUGGGAGUCGGAAAUGCCCGAAGUCAGUGACCUAACCGAAAGGAAGGAGCUGCCGAAGGUGGAGCCGGUAACUGGGGUGAAGUCGUAACAAGGUAAC